UAAUAGCUAAUUGGGGACACCUAAAAGAGUUACAGUUACAAUGAGUGUUGGUGUAUGACCUUGCAACUGAAGUCAGAUUUGAAAGCAAUGAACAAACAAAUAACACUCUAAGACUGUGCACCCAGGCUCAGAGGAUAAAAAAACUUGGAAAUUAAAAGGCUAACUACCCUGAAACCUCUUAUUUGAUAUUCUCGCCUUAUGUGAUUACAACACGUUCAUCUUAGGUAGUAGAUACAGAUGCCCGUUUGGCUGGGCCUUCAGAUGCAUAAGAAACAAAUACAGGAGGUUUCAGUGUAAGUGCUGGAGGCGUCAUUACCGAGGAAGAGGUAGAGAUGAGCCAGUGAACAACUACUGAAAUCCUCGGAAAAGAAGAUAUCGAAGAAAUUUAAGUGAGGUGGCUUGUCUCCUCUUGCCUUCGACAUAACUUGAGAAACUCUAAUAAAGGAAAACCACAAGGGGAACCAAUAAGAAGAGCCAGAUUAUUCUGGUAGACGCAGAGCAGUAAAAUUCCUUCACAACAACGGAUUCAAAUGAUGUACCCUUUAAGGAAUAAUAAAAAGUCAACGAGGAGGGGGAAAAUGUUUGUUGCUUCUUCGAACACCCCCUCCCCUCCCCCAUUUUUAAAUGCCCUUGUAUGUGCUUACCAAAACGCACCAAAACCUAUUUAAUUUGCGAAACGUUUUCCUCUUUAGCAUGUCCAUCGAAAGUUUUAAAGUAACUCGAUUUCGUAUCAUUAUGGGACCUGGUGUUGGACUAGCAUCCCACCAAGGGAGUGGAGAGAGUUACAACCCCCCAGUUGUUUCGUUCUAUAGAGAGCGAGAUCAGCUGUGGCAAUUGGAAUCAUUUUGGAUCGAGUGCAACUAGCCUUUAACUUACCUCCAUCGGGAUAGCAAUAAAAGGGGCUUGGUUUGCCCAUUUUCGAGCUUAGUUUUCACUCACCAAACAUCAUUCCUACUAAAGUUCUCCAUAUAAUCGUCAUAACUUUGUCUCGAAUCUCAACGACACAUAUGACAAGCUGCAAAUGGUAAUUAUGAUAAAACACUGUAUUGAAUUUGCAUACAAUAUGCUAUUUUUAAUUCGAAACUUGACCCCACAAGCAAUUCACGUCGGUAUGAUUAAAGAAUGUUAUUACUGCUGUUGUUGAUGUUGUUAUUAUUGUCGUAUUUUCACCGUCACGCAGACAAAAGGCAAAAGGACAUCUGAAUGAAAUUAUUAUUGUCGAUAAAUCGGUUUUUUAGCAUACUUUUAGUAUAAUAGCUGUAAAAAAAACUUUAAUACGACCAAUCAUUUUCACGACAACACUUUCAUAACACAACGUUGGUGGCUUUACAGGAGGUCCGUCAUUGCACCUUUACGAUUGAAGCUGGCAAUUGCAUCGUAAAUGCUUAUAUCAUUUAAGCAUGCAGGUUGACUGAACAUGGUUUACAGCAAAGAUAAGGUAUGAAACCCUUAAUAACUACCACGGUCACUUCACUAACCGUAAAUAAUUACUAUAUGCAAACAGUGCUCUAUAAGAGUGAAUCAAAAGACGCGUCAGAAACAUUUCAAGUACUAUAUCAAGCACGAGAGACAGUGUUUCAUCGGGAUAUCAAAACACCGUGAAGAGCGUCGAAAAUACGACGCGCAGCGGAGUAUUUUUGUCGAAAUUCGAGGUGUUUGGAUAGCCGA